ACAUGCAAUUCGAACGGAGAAUUUGAUAAGUUGCUUAGAAAAAUUCUUAGUGGCGGACGGGUGAGUAACGCGUGGGUAACCUACCCAUAAAUCCGGGACAACCCUUGGAAACGAGGGCUAAUACCGGAUAAUCUUAGAGCCUGGCAUCAGGCAUUAAGGAAAGAUGGCCUCUGAAGAUGCUAUCGAUUAUGGAUGGACCCGCGUCUGAUUAGCUAGUUGGUGGGGUAAAGGCCUACCAAGGCGACGAUCAGUAGCCGGCCUGAGAGGGUGAACGGCCACACUGGGACUGAGACACGGCCCAGACUCCUACGGGAGGCAGCAGUGGGGAAUCUUCCGCAAUGGACGAAAGUCUGACGGAGCAACGCCGCGUGUAUGAUGAAGGUCUUCGGAUUGUAAAGUACUGUCUUUGGGGAAGAACGGUGGCUUUGAAAAUAUUGAGNCCACAUGACGGUACCCAAGGAGGAAAGCCCCGGCUAAUUACGUGCCAGCAGCCGCGGUAAUACGUAGGGGGCAAGCGUUGUCCGGAAUUAUUGGGCGUAAAGGGCGCGUAGGCGGAUUGUUAAGUCCGGUGUGAAAGAUCAGGGCUCAACCCUGAGAGUGCAUCGGAAACUGGGAAUCUUGAGGACAGG
rnacentral:rRNA from 1 species